AAACCAGCACCUCAAGUGGUCAGGAUGAUUAUUGGGCCUAAAGCAUCCGUAGCCGGCUCUGUAAGUUUUCGGUUAAAUCUGUACGCUUAACGUACAGGCUGCUGGGAAUACUGCAGAGCUAGGGAGUGGGAGAGGUAGACGGUACUCGGGAGGAAGUGGUAAAAUGCUUUGAUCUCUCGAUGACCACCUGUGGCGAGGGCGGUCUACCAGAACACGUCCGACGGUGAGGGAUGAAAGCUGGGGGAGCAAACCGGAUUAGAUACCCGAGUAGUCC
rnacentral:rRNA from 1 species